UACGAGGGGGGCGAGCGUUGUUCGGAAUUAUUGGGCGUAAAGGGUGCGUAGGCGGUUUGGUAAGUCUCGUGUGAAAUCUCUGGGCUCAACUCGGAGCCUGCACGAGAAACUGCCGGGCUUGAGUGUGGGAGAGGUGAGUGGAAUUCCUGGUGUAGCGGUGAAAUGCGUAGAUAUCAGGAGGAACACCUGUGGCGAAAGCGGCUCACUGGACCAUAACUGACGCUGAUGCACGAAAGCUAGGGGAGCAAACAGG
rnacentral:rRNA from 1 species